UCAGGAUGAACGCUAGCGGGAGGCUUAACACAUGCAAGUCGAGGGGCAGCAUUUACUUCGGUAAGAUGGCGACCGGCGCACGGGUGCGUAACGCGUAUGCAACCUACCUUAUACAAAGGGAUAGCCCAUGGAAACGUGGAUUAAUACCUUAUGGUACUAUAAAACUGCAUAGUUUAAUAGUUAAAAUUUCGAUGGUAUAAGAUGGGCAUGCGUAGGAUUAGGUAGUUGGUGAGGUAAUAGCUCACCAAGCCGACGAUCCUUAGGGGUUCUGAGAGGAUUAUCCCCCACACUGGUACUGAGACACGGACCAGACUCCUACGGGAGGCAGCAGUGAGGAAUAUUGGGCAAUGGAGGCAACUCUGACCCAGCCAUCCCGCGUGCAGGAUGACGGCCCUAUGGGUUGUAAACUGCUUUUGUUUGCCAAGAAUGGUUAUUAACGUGUAGUAAUUUGAAGGUAGCAAAUGAAUAAGGACCGGCUAACU
rnacentral:rRNA from 1 species